UACGGGGGGGGGGCAAGCGUUGUUCGGAAUUACUGGGCGUAAAGGGCUCGUAGGCGGCCAACUAAGUCGGAUGUGAAAUCCCCCAGGCUCAACUUGGGAACUGGCAUCCAAUACUGGAUGGCUUGAAUUCGGGAGAGGGAUGCAGAAUUCCAGGUGUAGCGGUGAAAUGCGUAGAGUAUCUGGGAGGAAUACCAGAGGCGAAGGCGGCUACCUGGGACAAUUGCUGACGCUCAGGCACGAAAGCGUGGGGAGCAAAAGGG
rnacentral:rRNA from 1 species